GGGGAAUUUUCCGCAAUGGGCGAAAGCCUGACGGAGCAAGACCGCGUGAGGGAGGAAGGCUCUUGGGUUGUAAACCUCUUUUCUCAGGGAAGAAGAAAGUGACGGUACCUGAGGAAUCAGCCUCGGCUAACUCCGUGCCAGCAGCCGCGGUAAUAAGGAGGAGGCAAGCCCUCUCCGGAAAUGGGGAGUGUUAAGCAUUGGGAUGAGAUACCCCCGU
rnacentral:rRNA from 1 species